rnacentral:rRNA from 1 species
AUUGAACGCUGGCGGCAUGCCUUACACAUGCAAGUCGAACGGCAGCACGGGGCAACCUGGUGGCGAGUGGCGAACGGGUGAGUAAUGCAUCGGAACGUACCUUUCAGUGGGGGAUAACGUAGCGAAAGUUACGCUAAUACCGCAUAUUCUGUGAGCAGGAAAGCAGGGGAUCGCAAGACCUUGCGCUGAUUGAGCGGCCGAUGUCAGAUUAGCUAGUUGGUGAGGUAAAGGCUCACCAAGGCGACGAUCUGUAGCGGGUCUGAGAGGAUGAUCCGCCACACUGGAACUGAGACACGGUCCAGACUCCUACGGGAGUCAGCAGUGGGGAAUUUUGGACAAUGGGGGCAACCCUGAGCCAGCCAUGCCGCGUGAGUGAAGAAGGCCUUCGGGUUGUGAAGCUCUUUCGGCCGGGAAGAAAUCGCACGGGCUAAUACCCUGCGUGGAUGACGGUACCGGAAUAAGAAGCACCGGCUAACUAUGUGCCAGCAGCCGCCGUAACAC